rnacentral:rRNA from 1 species
CCUANGGGUGGCAGCAGUCGAGAGGCUUCGGCAAUGGGGGAAACCCUGACCGAGCGACGCCGCGUGGGUGAUGAAGUCCUUCGGGAUGUAAAACCCUGUCAUACGGGAUGAAAAACCGAUCGGUUAAUAGCCAUUCGGUUUGACAGUACUGUAAGAGGAAGCUCCGGCUAACUCCGUGCCAGCAGCCGCGGUAAUACGGGGGGAGCGAGCGUUAUUCGGAUUUACUGGGCGUAAAGGGUUCGUAGGCGGUCAAGUAAGUCAGGGGUGAAAUCUAACGGCUUAACCGUUAAACUGCCCUUGAAACCGCUUGACUUGAGGACAUGAGAGGAAAGCGGAAUUCUUGGUGUAGCGGUGAAAUGCGUGGAUAUCAAGAGGAACACCAGUGGCGAAGGCGGCUUUCUGGCAUGUUACUGACGCUGAGGAACGAAAGUCAGGGGAGCGAACGGGAUUAGAUACCCGANUANUC